CCUACGGGAGGCAGCAGUGGGGAAUCUUGCGCAAUGGGCGAAAGCCUGACGCAGCAACGCCGCGUGCGGGAAGAAGGCUUUCGGGCUGUAAACCGCUUUCAGCAGGAACGAAAAUGACGGUACCUGCAGAAGAAGGAGCGGCCAACUAUGUGCCAGCAGCCGCGGUGAUACAUAGGCUUCAAGCGUUGUCCGGAUUUAUUGGGCGUAAAGAGUUCGUAGGCGGUCGAGUAAGUCGGGUGUGAAAAUUCUGGGCUCAACCCAGAGACGCCACCCGAUACUGCUUGACUUGAGUUCGAUAGGGGAGUGGGGAAUUCCUAGUGUAGCGGUGAAAUGCGCAGAUAUUAGGAGGAACACCGGUGGCGAAGGCGCCACUCUGGAUCGAUACUGACGCUGAGGGACGAAAGCAUGGGUAGCAAACAGGAUUAGAUACCCUGGUAGUCCAUGCCGUAAACGGUGGGCACUAGGUGUGGGUUUCUAUUAACGAAAUCCGCGCCGUCGCUAACGCAUUAAGUGCCCCGCCUGGGGAGUCGGUCGCAAGCUAAACCUUAAAGANAUGGCGNGUUGAGUGNGCGAGCGACGACGAGGAG
rnacentral:rRNA from 1 species